GGGGGAGGUGCGGCACGUGUGGGAUAGGUAGUGGCGGCACACCUUGCUGAGUUAGGGUUUGUUGAUUUUUUGGUUAUUGGCCUGGGGACUAAUUUAGGCUUAGGAUUGGGUUUGGUUUUUGGGUUGUGUAAAUGAACUUUUAAUUUUUGGACUUUUAUUUUUUGGGGGGGUUUAUUUUUUGUUUAUUUUGGUCUUGGGCCCAGGCCAAAAUUGGCCCAUUAUAGCUACCCCUCUUUACUCAUUGUUGUGUAAUAGGAAUGGAGCAAAGAAAAAAGGGCCAAUUUUGUCUUGUCUAGCCGAGUCUUGACUUUCUUCGGUGUUUCUCUUCUAAGUAGCUUCAUUCCAAUCCACCAUAUCUUCAAG
rnacentral:lncRNA from 1 species